rnacentral:rRNA from 1 species
GACGAACGCUGGCGGCGUGCUUAACACAUGCAAGUCGAGCGGUAAGGCCCUUUCGGGGGUACACGAGCGGCGAACGGGUGAGUAACACGUGGGUGACCUGCCCUCAGCUCUGGGAUAAGCCUGGGAAACCGGGUCUAAUACUGGAUAUGACUCCAUGACGCAUGUUGUGGGGUGGAAAGCCUUGUGCGGCUGAGGAUGGGCCCGCGGCCUAUCAGCUUGUUGGUGGGGUGAUGGCCUACCAAGGCGACGAUGGGUAGCCGGCCUGAGAGGGCGACCGGCCACACUGGGACUGAGACACGGCCCAGACUCCUACGGGAGGCAGCAGUGGGGAAUCUUGCGCAAUGGGCGAAAGCCUGACGCAGCGACGCCGCGUGAGGGAUGACGGCCUGGUGUAA